CUACCCGCUGAAACUUAAAGCAUAUC
rnacentral:rRNA from 1 species